AUCCCAAGAUGUCAGGCUAUCAGGAGGGGUGCAGCUCAAGCCCCUUGCUCAAAGGACUUCUCGGAAAGCAUCAGAAGGGGGACGGAGUGCAAUGGGGAGCAGGCUCUGUGCCCACCCUGGCCAUUGUGCGUGUUCCAAGCCACCAGGUUCCAGAUGCUAACAUGAUGCCGACCAGACUUCCCUGGACAGACAACCCCACCAAUGUGUCCUGGAGCACCACUUCCCCAGAGCCCCACCCUACUAGGGAAAGAGAGAGGCAGACUGGGAGUAUGGAUAGACCAGUCAAUACCCAUGUUCAGCGGGGAAGCAAUUACAGAAGCCAGACCUUCCACCUUCUGCAUCCCACAAUGUCCUUGAGUCCAUACUCCCAGAAGGAUAAAGAAUAGGAAAGCUAUCAGGGGAGGGGAUGAGAUACAGAGAUCGGGUGGUGGGAACUGUGUGGAGUUGUACCCCUCUUAUGCUAUGGUUUUGUCAAUGUUUCCUUUUUAUAAAUAAAAAAAAAAAAGGAAGAAAGAAAAA